rnacentral:rRNA from 1 species
GAGUGGCGGACGGGUGAGUAAUGCUUGGGAACUUGCCUUUGCGAGGGGGAUAACAGUUGGAAACGACUGCUAAUACCGCAUAAUGUCUUCGGACCAAACGGGGCUUCGGCUCCGGCGCAAAGAGAGGCCCAAGUGAGAUUAGCUAGUUGGUAAGGUAACGGCUUACCAAGGCGACGAUCUCUAGCUGUUCUGAGAGGAAGAUCAGCCACACUGGGACUGAGACACGGCCCAGACUCCUACGGGAGGCAGCAGUGGGGAAUAUUGCACAAUGGGGGAAACCCUGAUGCAGCCAUGCCGCGUGUGUGAAGAAGGCCUUCGGGUUGUAAAGCACUUUCAGUUGUGAGGAAAAGUUAGUAGUUAAUACCUGCUAGCCGUGACGUUAACAACAGAAGAAGCACCGGCUAACUCCGUGCCAGCAGCCGCGGUAAUACGGAGGGUGCGAGCGUUAAUCGGAAUUACUGGGCGUAAAGCGCACGCAGGCGGUUUGUUAAGCUAGAUGUGAAAGCCCCGGGCUCAACCUGGGAUGGUCAUUUAGAACUGGCAGACUAGAGUCUUGGAGAGGGGAGUGGAAUUCCAGGUGUAGCGGUGAAAUGCGUAGAUAUCUGGAGGAACAUCAGUGGCGAAGGCGACUCCCUGGCCAAAGACUGACGCUCAUGUGCG